UAACAGAAUACAACCUGAAAAAGAAAAAGGCAAUUGAUGGCUGCCUGUUUGUCCUGAUGAUAGUUUACUUCCAUCUAUCAAAAAAUAAAGACAAGAAAGGAGAAGAAAGACCCCCAGAACCUUGGAUUGCCAACUGGACUAGAGAGCAGUUGGUUGAAAGAAUGAGAGCUAAAAUGGAUGAACAUAUGGAAAUUGUAAAGAUGGCAGAAACAAAGGAGAAAAUGAAACAAAUGAAGAAAAAAGAAAAAACCAAAAAAAACAAAAAAGGAAGGAAAGUUCAUCAUCAUCUGAGCAUGAAACAACUGAAAGUGAAGUCUAUUCUACCUCUGAGUCUGAGACUGAAGAAGACUCAGAGGAACUAACAAGGAAACAACCCACCCGAACAGCCAAAAAAAUGGAAUCCAAAAAA